AUACGGAGGAUCCGAGCGUUAUCCGGAUUUAUUGGGUUUAAAGGGUGCGCAGGCGGCCAUUUAAGUCAGCGGUUAAAUCGUGGGGCUCAACCCCAUUCUGCCGUUGAUACUGGGUGGCUUGAUUGCGGUCGAGGUUGGCGGAAUUCGUUGUGUAGCGGUGAAAUGCAUAGAUAUGACGAAGAACACCGAUUGCGUAGGCAGCUGGCCAGACCGCAAAUGACGCUCAUGCACGAAAGUGCUGGGAUCGAACAGGAUUAGAUACCCUGGUAGUCCGCACAGUAAACGAUGAAUACUUGUUUUCGGCGAUAUAAUGUCGGAGGCAAAGCGAAAGCGAUAAGUAUUCCACCUGGGGAGUACGCCGGCAACGGUGAAACUUAAAGGAAUUGACGGGG
rnacentral:rRNA from 1 species